CUGCGAACGGCUCAUUAGAGCUUACAUAAAGUUUCUGGCUGCCUUUUAGGCUAUCUUCGACAAAUUGAAGCUAAUACAUGCAAACAUGUCUUCUUCGGAGGGCGCAAUAUUAGAACUACUGGCUUGCCGGCGGUUGAUUUCAAUUAUCGUUUAGAUAUCGGAAGGCGACUUCCGAUGGCCAUAAACUGUGUACGCCCUAUCACCCAGCAGGUUAAUCAUUCGCUAACCGGGGGUAUUACGGGUAACGGAGAACUAGGGUUCGUCUCCGGAGAAGAAGCCUUUGAAAGGCUACUACAUCCAAGGAAGGCAGCAGGCGCGUAACUUAUCCACUACCACAGUGAGAUAGUAACUAGUCUUAACUAUUAACUACCUUUUAGGUUAGUUAUGGUCCAUGAGUUGAGCCUAAAUAGCUCUUCGAGGACCAAGUGGAGGGCAAGUCUGGUGCCAGCAGCCGCGGUAAUUCCAGCU
rnacentral:rRNA from 1 species